rnacentral:piRNA from 1 species
UGCAUUGAGUGCCCAGUCACAGGACCCU